GCCGUGGUAGUCUGGGUGGUCAGGCGCAGCACGUCCCUCGCCGCCCCCUGCCUGCUGCUGCUGCUGCCGGCCCUCCUCCGCCCCGUCCGCCUGCUCGUCCUCCUCCUCAUAGUCCGACUCGGCAUCUGUGUGUCACACGCGUGUGAGGGGAGAUGUGUGGGAUCCAAAGUCCAAUACACACACACACACACACACACACACACACACACAUUCGCCACCACGUGACGGGAUGACGUCGAGGCGAGGCUGUCAGCGAAGCUGCUGCCUCGCGUUACGCGCACACCACCCCUGCAACGCCCCUCCUCUCCUUCGCCACGGCCUCAGCCACCACUCCCCUCACCACCUGCACCCUCCCCCCUGGCCCCCCGCACCCCUCGCCCUCCCCUCCCCAACGCCUCACCCUGCUCCUGCCCCAGCCCCAGCCGCUGCUGCCACUGCUGCAGGCUGCCCCGCUCCGCUGCCAGCUCAGCCGCCUUGCGCGCCUCCACCUCAGCCCGCUUGCGCCGGUCCGUGUCCAGCGUGCGCUGGGUGGCGGCCCUGGGUGGGAGACACGGAGGGGUUGACAGGGGAGGGGAGGGGAGGGGAAGCGGGCAAGGGGGGCCGGAGGAGCAGAAGGGGAGAGGGGUGUGAGGAGGGCCGAGAGGGGCAGUGGGCGCUGUGGGCGGGGAGAGCUGGUGGGGCCAGCGGGGCCGUCGCUGCUGCAGCUGAUAGGCCUGCACCUAGACCCUAGUCCCUAGGCCCUUGCCUCCUGACCCGUGCCUCUCGACCCGCGCCUCCUGGUCUGUACGGUCUGACCCUCGCCUAGGGAGCCUGGCCUGCCUGCUGAGACCCCUCAGCCCCCGCUCGUGAUCGUCAGGGCACCCCCCUGCCAGGGCCGCCCGCCCCCCUGCAGGUCACCCACUUGUCCUCAUGCUGCUUGCGCUCCAGUCGCGCCCUGCGUGCCGCCUCCAGGGCCGCAUAGGCGCGGUCAAUGGAGGCGUUGCGGCGGCUGGUCAACGCGGCCUUCUCCCCCGUGGCAGCCAGCACGCCCCACACCCCCGGCUCGCGCUGCAAAGGAUCCAGAUGGAAUGCGGUGGUGGCACAGGGGGUAGGGUCAGCAAGCAUGUGGGCGCAGAGGAUGCGGAAGACAUGGGUGUGGCCUUGGAGCGUGGCGGUCGGCGGGGCGGGUGAGGACCGAAAGACGAAACCCAGCACAAGGCUGGCCGCGGGACUCGAGCCAGUCUCCCGCCCACCUUGAAGAGCGUGAACACGACCUUUCCCGGCAGGAUGGUCGCCGAGCUACGCGUGUCGUCCACAUCCUUCGCCAGGUCCAGCGCGAACAGAUAGGGCGGGCUGUUGACUUUGAGAAACGCGUCAGUCGCGAAGACAUCGGCCUUGCUCUUUGAGACCCCUGGGACCUCUACAGUUACUUCAAUUGCCACAUCCGUCUCCGUCCAUGUAUACUUUGGGGCCAGCGGCAUGGCGGGCAAACCGAAGUCAAGCAGUCGUCGGGAGGCUCGUAAUAGUCUGCAACAGGGCUUGGCGAUCUAAGACAUUCUUAAGACGUUAUCUACUGCACAAUACAAGUAGCAACGCACGAGAAGGGCUGGCUUGCCUUCCACACAAAGGCCUUGCUGGAAUCGAUGGGUGCAUGGGGUUUCUAAGUCGCGGGCCAGGGCUUCGAGCCUCUCCGCCCUGGCUUUGUCCAUAAUUACUCUCCAAAGACAACAAACGUAUCGCAAGUCACGCCUGUAACCUAAACCGAGCCGCCUACGCGCAACAGAGGCAAAUAUGGCCACCAACAGCACUGGUCCCUGGGCGACUGGCACCUUCUCCCCGAACUCCACGGGUACAGUGACACAAUACAACCACCCAAUGUUUGUUUCCCAGCGCCUCACUGGAAACUUCACGAGCCAGUUCGAGAUGGUGAGCCCGAUGGCCGGCAUGUGCGCACGCGGUACCGCCGUGCCUUACGCAAAGCGCAGUGCCGUGCAAACGUUCGUAACGAGUGUCUUGCGGCAACACUGGCAGUGCCUUCGAGCACAGCAGGAAAAACCGCAAUACCCUUCGUGGACGCACAACCUUCAGGGGGGACUUGCCUCGUUGCCCCUGAUGCGCCUCACUCUGCCCGCUCGCGACGUUCCAUUGCGCCCACCCCUCUCGACAGAACUCUCUUCCAAGCCACAAGUAUGAGACGCUCCCGAUCCGCUCGGGGCACCUGCCAGGUAAGCCGCCGCCACUGGGCAGUCGGCAGAAGCUGGGGCUGAGGGUGCGUGCCACCCCUGAGCCGCCGACCCGGCGUUGAGGGGCCCGGGAUCCCCGGAUCCUGCCGAGCGCAGGGCCGCUCUGGGUGGGUUUAGCAUGCACACCGCAAUACCUCGCGCGAGUGCGCGACCUGCCUUUGCUCUUCUGUGGCGCUAUGCGUCUCUUUCCCAAGCCCCGAACCCACCCACCCUACCCCCACCUCCCUUCCCUUCACGCACACCCGCAGGCUACCAGGGCCACGUGCCCGGCGGCGUGGGCGCCAUCGCGCAGCGCAAGCCCGCGGCGGCCAUGCACACGGUAGGCCUAUCGUCAAACAACAUGCAUGUACAGCAAAAAUGACUUCUCCUGUAGUACUGCUAGCUUGGUUACAAGGGCCGGGUCGUGGCGGCCACUGGCGGCCACUUGAGCGCCGCCCAAAACCACUGCCUUGGGCACGACAUGAACUCUCCCCCACUUCCCCGCCGACGCCCCACCCCCCUGCAGAUGACGCACCUGGCCACCAGCGGCUCGCUGCCCAAGGGCUCGCCGCAGACGGACAUGAGCCUGGUGGACCUGCGGCCGGAGCAGCGCUCCAUGGCCAAGGUGUACAUGUAAGUGUGGCUGGCUGUAGCUGUGUGUAUAUUGAGUGUGUGUGGCUGUAGCUUUGUGUGUGUGUGUGUGUGUGUGUGUGUGUGUGUGUGUGUGUGUGUGUGUGUGUGUGUGUGUGUGUGUGUGUGUGUGUGUGUGUACAUUAUGUAUGUGUGUGUGUUGCACGUUGUGGAGUGUUGGGGCGUCGCGUCAACGUGAGCUGCCAUCGACCCCUGUACCCCCGCACCCACCUCACUCACACAGGUACGCUGAGGGCGCCAAGACCAGCUUCCUUAAGUUCCCCACCCCCAAGACUUUUGACCACCGCAACUGAGAGAUUGACAGAGACAACGUUGCGAGAGGGGGAGGGGGAGGGUUCGCCUGGGGACAGAGUGGCUGGCAGCACGGGCGGCGGAACGGCGGCAGCAGCUCAUCAGCUGCUGUGCUGUGUGACCCGGCAGUGGGGCUGCCGGGUUACUGGCCUCACGGGCUUGGGGCGAUGCCGGGCUCACGCGCGAUGGUGGUGGUGUGGGAGCUGGCACGGCGGCACAGCCGCAAUGUGCGGAGCUGGCCUUGACAACCCGACUGCGUGUGUUUGCGAGCGCUGGGAACCGAGAUGCCGCGAGAUGUACUCGGAUGGGAUGAAGCGCGGUUGUUGGCGGCGGCAGUGGUGGCCCAUGUGAAAGCGGGGGACUGAUAGACCAGGCAUAGGCAGGGCUGACGUCGAGUUACUGACCCAGGUUUGGCGGGACCAAAUGAUCGAACUGAGGAAGCACUGAUUGCAGGUAGACCAGCGACGCCGCAUUUUGCGGCGAGCGUAAUAGUGGCAGGUGUGUGUGCAGUAGCACAGAUUUCCAACUUCCAAGCCUUCGCCUCAUUGCUGGCAGGGCGUGACAGAAGCAUGGAAUCCUCGGCUGUGAGGAGUGCGGAGGACCUCACGCGCAGCAGGAGGCGGUUGGGGUGCAAGUGCGCAACAGCGGUACCUGUACCGACUUUUGCGGUGGUGUUCUGUUUGUUUUUGGUUCAUGAACGAUCGGGGUGAAUGUGUGGCUGCCUGAAAGACGGCAGCCGCAGCCCUGAAUCCAUUGAUUGUUAGUAGUCUGCUCGAUGAUUCAUUGAGAGGCACCAGGGCCGCAAAGCAGUGAGUGGCACGUUGCGACGGUGGCUAGUAAGGACAGGUAAGGACCUGGCGGCGAGCGCUGCAGUGUGGUGUGGGCCCGGUCGGGCCGCCAUAGAGUCACAGGCUAAUGAAGCUUCAUGUAAACCGCUCGCACUGGGCACGCCAUCCCCAGCUGCACCCAUUGUGGGCGUAGCCGUGUAGGUGCCAGCAACCACGAGUGGCAUACGUGGAUGGCAAUUGUGGCACACUUAAGGCUGUUUGAUGAGGCUGGGUGCAAGGAUGGGGAAGGAAGAAAGGCAGGUGGUGCAAAAGUCAAAGCCAUGAAGCCACCCAGCUUCGCCACACACGCUGCUGUCGAUGCCUUGAACAUGUGCGGCCGACAUGUUCGCUGCACGUGCUGGCUGAAUGCCAAGGUAAAUGAUAUCAGGGGAUGGGCAAAAUCCUGCAGCUUUAAAGCAUUGGCCGCAUAGCACACUGUCUAAGACAUGCAUGCGAGUAUAGCAUAUCGCACGCUGUUUUCGUGCCGCAAUGCGGGGCCGGCAAUUCGCUCGGGUCCUUUGACCAGUAACCCCCGCACGCUUGUUUCAGAGCACGUGAUAGAUCUAUACCGUUUAGAUUUGCCCUGAGGUUUGACGCUGGCAACAAAUGUGUAUUUCAAGUUUGGCUUGUCCCGUGCGGCUGGCACGGUCGCCUAACGAGACGGUGUUGAGAUGAAAUAACAUAUGAUGGUUGAAGAGCAUGGAGCGGGCGUAAGCUUUGCCCCAGACAUGCGCGGCGAUGCAGCUCCUGCUGCACAGUGGCCCAGGGCGCUUAAGCCAGUGAGUCCCUUCAUGUAGCGCAAUAUGGCUUCUGUGCUCCAAUACAGUGAAGCGUUUGAUAGGUUGACCUCCGGGGAGUUGCAUAAUGGUUUGUGCGCAGUCUACUUUAAUGGCUUUGUUGACACCCCAGGGUCUUCGCGAUAGCAUUACACUUCGUGGUCCACGGAGACCUUCUUCGGCGCGCUCCAACGGCGGCAUCCGGCCUGAAGAGGUACGCGAGCCUGGUAUUAAUGGACCCGUUUCUGCAUGCCAAUAAGCAAUCAUGUUGUGGCUCGAUACCAAUCGGCGGACGGGGUCGUGGGUGGACGCCCCUGUGCGCUCGUCCGACUGCCAAACCCGACAUUGCUGCUGCACACGUCGAACCGACCGGGACUCCCGAGCAGUCACGCACACUCCCGCCCUCUGGCUGAAUCCUUGGCACAUGCACAUAUGCUAUAUGCUAGUCUUCGUGGUGCUCUAUGUGCAUGCAAGUCCCGGCCGGGGUCACGACCCUGUUCCUCUCACCCUACAUUGCUACCGUCGCGCUGCCCUCCUCUUCAGAGCCGGGCUGGUUGCGGCGGCUGCUUCGGCGGCGGCCGCAGCCGCAAGCGCGCCCGCUGGCCAGACACCUCGGCGGCCGCCGAGGGCAGUGACGGCGACGGCGGCGGAGCUGCGGCACCUCAGCUGGGUGACGGGGCCGGGGGCAGCGGCACUGAGGCGUGCCUGGGCGGCGGCGGCGCCGACGACGGCCGCCCCCUGUCCGUGUCCGUGUCUGUGGCUUCAGCCGGCGUCAGCUCGCUGCGCUCAGCACUGCUAGCACUGGUGGGCGGCGGCGGCGGUGGCGGCGGCGGCGCGGGCGCCGACGGCGCCAGCCCCAGAGCCGCCUCCACAGCCUCCGCCGGCCGCGACGCCAGCCGCUCACACAAGGCUCCGUCGUCGCCUGCGGCGGCAGCAGGCGGCGGCGGCGGCGACAGUGGCAGCCAGCGGCGCAUGCUGCGUGUGGACGGCGUGCCGGCUCCGGUGAAGACACACGACAAGAGCAGCCAGCCGCAGGUCCGUGCCACUGUAUUGAAGGUUAUGAGGCCUGUGUGGUCAUGUGUUGGAUGGAGGGCACAAGGGAGGAAACACGCAGGACUCUGUACUUGAUGCGGUGAUAUUUUGUGUAUGUGGCCGUGUGUAUGUGUGUGUGCCCACCCGACCCCUGUGACGGCUCGCUCCCACACAAUCCUUCCUUCACUCGCGCAGAAGCCCAGCCUGCGUGUCACCUCCGCGCAGCAGCAGGGGUUGCGGUCGGGGCAGCAGGGCCUGAAGCAGGGCGGAGGCGGCGGUGGCGGCUACGGCCGCACCAGUACCGGCCUGUCGGAGGUGGACGCCACCAACGCAGACGACCACAGGCGCAGCGUCGGAGGCGGCGGAGGCGGCAAGCCGAUUGAUGCGGUUACAGCCAAGGCACGGGCGCCGGCGGGCGGAGCGGUGAAGUCGACGUGGCUGCUUGCUGGCGAUGAUGAUGACUGUGGUGGUGGCGACGGCAGCCAGCCCGACAGCCCGGCGGCGGCGGGCAGCAUGCCGGCGCCGGGGCCGGGUGCGGCCACAACCGCCACAACCGCCAACCACAAAACCACGACGACAACGACAAAACGCACGGUUACCAGCACAAGUUCGUACGCGACGUCAUCCACCUCAACCGUCACAACGUCCCGACCGGCGUUCGGUGCCGGCGCCGGCGGCACCGCCACAACCACCACCACAACCACCGCCAUGUCCCACCACCAGCAACAUGCCUCGUCCUUCGCCAGCGCCACCACCACCACCACCACAACCGUGGCAUCAGCGGAACCCUCGCCUUCCGUGUCCGCCGCCACGCACGCCGCUCCCGCUGCUCCCUCCGCCGCUGCUACAGCCGCCGCUCCCUCCGCCGCUGCUACAGCCGGUGCUACACCCGGUGCGCGGCAGUCGCAGCGCCGCGACUCCACCUACAUGACGCUGGUGGAGCAGGCGGGCGACUCCAUUGGCGAGUCCAGCCGCAUCCCGGAGCUGGCAGAGCUGAGGAGGGGGCUGGGGCUCGGGCCGGGGCCAGCGCCGCGGCUCGGGUCGGGGCCGGGGCUGGGGCUGGGAGGGACCCGCGCCGCUGCGCCGCCCCACGCGGCGGCGGCGGCGGCGGGCGGCGGCGGGCGGUGGGGUGGAGGCGAGGGGGACAGCGGUGGAGGCGGAGGCGCAGGCGGAGGCGUUGGCUACAAGGUCGCGGAGGGCACACACACGGAACUGGAUCCGGAUCCGGAUGUGAAAAUGGCGGACGCUGAUGCGGCCCGGGCGGAGGCGGAGGCGGCGGCGGCUGUGGCGGCAAUGGCUUCGCUGGUGGGCGCGGUCCCGGCUGGCGGCGGCGGCGGCGGCGGCUCCACCGCUUCCGCGUCUGUGAGCAGGAGCCGCGGCGGCGCCAGCAGCAGCAACACCGGCGGCUUUGGCAGCAGCAGCAAUGCUGGCGGCGGCGGCGGUGGCGGCGGCGGGGGACUAAUGACGACCACGUUUGAGAAUGUGACCAUGUCGGCGUGGGCGGAGGAGGGACUGGCGGGAGAGCAGGCGCCGGCAGGGGCGCUGCCGCCACUGCUCGGCGCCAUACCUGAGCUAGCGGCGGCGCGUCAGCCGCAGCAGCCCAACAGCAACAGCAACAGCAUCCCCAGCUCGCAGGCGGCGGGCGCGACGCAGCGCCCAGCCCUGGCAGCGGCCGCGUCGGCGCCGGUGUCGGCGGCGGAGCCGGCAACAGCGGCGGCGGCGGCGGCGGCACAAGCUCCGUCAGCCAAUGCCAGCCCCGGUCGGCUAGCUCUGGCCGGCCGGCUGGGCAGGUCCCUCCGCUCGCUCUUCGCCGGCGGCAGCGUCUCCCUACCAGCCACCGCCGCCGUCACCGCCGCCGCCGCCGCCGCCGCAAUGGGCCCGGCUGGUGCGACCGCGGUGACGGUGCCGGAGGCGCAGCCAGACAGCCCGCAUGCCGCCGCCACGGCUCCCGGCAGCGGCGGCGCCGGCGGUGGUAGUGCCGGCCUGGCGGCGGCGGUGGCGGCGCCGUCGCGGCGGUCGCUGGUGGCCAGCCUACGAGUGCAGGUGCGCCCCGUGGCGGCGGCGGCGGCGGCGGGGCGGCGCAGCACGGGGGCCAUAUCGGAGACCGAGGUGCGAGAACAGGUUGACAUUGCGUGCUGGCGUCGUGUGCGUGCCGGGCGCACGCAAGCGUGACAGCAGUGUGAACCCGUGUGCGUGUGUGUGAACCCUGCGUGACUGUGUUGUGAGUGUAGCUUGCUCGAGGUGUGAGAGUGGGCACAAAGAUGAAGGCCUCUGUUUGAGGUUUUAGGGCUUUAGGGUUUCUCUGUAAGUGCCAAGGGCCCACGUGCUCCGUUCAGUCAGCGCUGUCCUCGCUGGCAGUCGGUAUGCAUCUGCCCGUGCGUGUCUCUUACUCGCCACUUUCUCCUAGCAAUGCUGCACCAUAGUACAACACAAACACAAACACAACACAAACACAACACAGGGCGACGUGACGUCGAUGCCGGAGUCUCCAGGUAGCGCCUUUGGCGCCAGGGCUUACGGCGCCAGGUCUGACGGCUACGGCACAAGCGGCUACGGCACAAGCGGCUACGGCACAAGCGGCUACGGCACAAGCGGCUACGGCACAAGCGGCUACGGCACAAGCGGCUACGGCACAAGCGGCUACGGAGGUGGCGGCGGCGGUCAGGGGGGUCCGGCCCCAGCCGCUGGCGUGGCGCCCGCCGCCGGCGCCUCAGGCGGCGCCGCUGCCGCUGCCGCUGCUGACGUGUCGGCGGCGCUGUUGGCGACGGCGCAGUCGGGGCCGCCGCAGGUUGGCGGGGGCGGCGGCGGCGGGGGCGGAGGCGGGGCGCCGGAUGGCGCUGACGCGCAGGGCGAGGGCACGAGGCCGGUGGAGGGCCCGCGUCGCUGGAGAACCGAGGUGGGUGGCGGGGGGUGCUCGCAGGUGCUGAUGGGUGGCGGGGGGUGAGGUGCGUGAGACGCCAUGUUGGCUUGUGUGGUGUGCGGCAGGGCCCGGGCCGGCGGGGAGCAGUGCCCUGAGCAGCGGUGGUCUGACCUGUAAGAAUGAGGGGGCAUCAGAUGUAGGAGCGUGUGCACAGGGCACAGCUUUGCCUGCACAUGCCUAGUUUCCGUGGGAAUGCUGCGGUACAAACAUCCAUCUUUCCAUCUGGACAGGCCGCGCUCGAUCCAGUCGGCCGCACCGCCACCGCCACCGCUGCCGCUGCCGCCGUCCCCAUUCGCGUCUCGGCAUACGGCGACCUCGGUACCAGUGGCGCCGCCGCCACCACCACCACCACCAGCCUCAGCGGCGCAGCGCCGGGCUCGCCCCCGGCCACUGGCGGCGCCACCGGCAGCGGCACUGGCACUGGCGGCAUCCGGGCGGCCUCGUCCGGCUUCAAGCCCAUCGCGCUUCUGGGCCGAUUGCUGGGGGUGCGGGAGCCCAGCGGCAAUGGCAGCGGCGGCGCCGCCUCCUCUGUCGCCAUGUCGGGCCCGGCGGCUCGGAACAGCAGCUUCGCCUCAGUUGGCAGUGACGCCCGAAUUGUGCCACGACAACAGCGACAACAGGCGGCGGCGCAGUCGCGAGCGGGUGGCGGCGGUGAGGCGGCGGCGGCAGCCGGCGACCGGCCGUCGUUUGUGGUGUUGAGAAAUUCGUUGUUUGAUGCGGACGGCGGCGUUGGCGGCGCCGGCGCUGGUUGCAGUGGUGCAGGUGGCGGUGGGAUCGGUAGCAACGCCUGGCCCUCCGUCCGUCGGCCAUCGGAGACGUCACUGGGAACCGGCGCCGGGGGCCCUCUCUCCCCUGACAGCCCACCCUGCACCUCUCCCACCGGCCUCUCUCCGGGCCUGUCACCCGGCCUGUCGCCGGGCCUCUCGCCGGGCCUGUCCCCGGGGUCUCGCUUCGGCCCCGCCGGCGUUACACGCCAUACGUCAGGUCCCGGCUCCGGGCCCUCGCCGCACGCACCCAGGCUGGCGACGACGGAGGCGGCAACGCCCGCGACGGCCGGCGCGGCGCGCGCCAUUGCUGGCGCGGCGGGCAGCAGCGGCAGCGGCGGCGCCGCCAUUGGAGGAGGAGGAGGAGGAGGAGGAGGAGGCGGCGCCCGCGUGUCUAAGCUGCAGCAGCAGUUCCUGGCGCAGCACCAGCAGCGGCUGGAGCUGGAGCCGCCGCUGCCGGGGUCCCGCCGCGGCUCUGUGGUGUGUGCGCCCGAGGCGGUAGCGGCGGCGGUGGCCUACGCCGAGGGUGGCGGCGGCAGCAGUGGGGCUGAGGGCGUGCCGCCGCCGCGGCACGGCAGCGGCGCCGUGCCGGCGGCCUCGGCGACCUCGGCGGCCUCCGGCGCCCCCCUCAGCCGGGACACCCAGGCUCAGGGGCGCUCCAGGCUGCAAGCCUCAGCCGGCGCGGCGGCGGCGGCGGCGGCGCCGGCACCGGCGGCGGCGCCGGCGGCGGACAAGCGGCGGUGGCAGCAGCAGCAGCAGCAGCAGCAGCAGCAGACGCCUGCUCCCCAGGUGCAGGGGCAGGGGCCGCCGCGGCGGCAGCAGGGCCGUAUGGCAGCACUGGCCAGCUUCUUCAUGCGCAGGAAGAGCAGCGCCGGCAGUGGAGGCGCAGCCGCCGCCAGAGGCGGUGGCGCCCUCAGCGACGACGCGGUGGGCGCCGUCAGCGGCGCAGAGGACAGCGUGCAGGGCGGCAGGCAGCGGCGGCGCAGUCGCAGCUUCACCGCGGGCUGUGAGGAGCUGGGAGUGGCCGAGCGGCGAGCCAGCCUGGCGCAGAUGUCGGCAGCAGGCGUUGCGGCGGCGGCGGGCGUGGCGGGCGUGGCGGCGGCGCCGCAGCCCGCGGUCAGCGACAGCGGUGCGGCGCCGCGCGGCCUGGCGGCGGCGGCGGUUGGCGCCGUGCCCUCGGCGGUUAGCUGCAUCAACGAUGAGGUCGACUACUGGCGUCAUACCGGCAGUCGCAACCGUGACGCGCCGCCGCCUGCCACCGCCGCCGUUGCCAACACCGCCGCCGCCACUAGUGCUGCCGCCGCCGCCGCGCUCGGCGGCGGCGGCGGGCCGCGGCCGCUCAAGCCGGCGCUCAGCGUGAAGCGGCGGGUGGGCGUCACAAGCGACGGCACAGGCGCCGGCGGCGGCUUGGCUCCGGCUGUGAGUGUGCGGUGGAAUGAUGACUUGCUCAUCGUGUCCACCGACCUGGGAGACACCGCAGGCGGCGGCAGGGCGGUGGCGGCGGCGGUUGAGCCGGGCUCGCUGCCGCAGGGCCGCACGUCGGCCUCGGGUAGCGUGGCGGGGUCUGUGGGGGGGCUGGGCGGCCCCCGCAGCAUGUCGUACGCGGACCUGUCCCUCAGCGUGCAGCGGGCAGUGCAGACGGUGCAGGUGGGUGGGUGGGUGCAGAAGGGUGGGUGGGUUGGUGACGGCGUGUGCGGCAGAAUCCCAUGCAUGCGGUUGCACGCGCGCAUUCGCUCCCCAGACCGGGUUUACCGCAGGUUCUCGUGUUUCCAAAGCCAACACUCCACCCCUCCGCAAUACGCCUCCUGUCCGACUUCCUAAACCCUUCUUGCCCGCUUUCCCGUUCUUGUUGCCGUAGGCCGCGGCCUUGCAGCGCGCGCGCCGCAGCAUCAGCCCCGACGGCGGCGGAGGCGGCAGCGGCGCCUCGCCGCCCCGCACAGCCGGCACAGCCGCCGCCACUCCCGGUUCCUCGCGGGCCACCACCGCCGCCAGCGGAGAGCGAUCUCGCCGCAUCCGUGCCGCGCCCUUCGCCGCCGCCGUCGACUUGCUCGGUGGCGCCGUCAGCGCCGUCGCCGCCGCCGCCGCAACUCGGCCGACAACAGCCGCAUCCAGCCUUUGCAGCGACGCCGCAUCGCGAGGCCACCGGAGCGUGCGGCUUGCGCGUGCUGCCGCCGCCAUUCACUCUCACACUUCCCAGCAGCCUCGAUCUCGCUCGCCAAGGAUGUCUUACGGCGGUACGGCGCCGGGAUACGUCGGCGUCGGUGGCGAGUUUGCGGCGACGGCCGGUGGCGACGGCCGCGCGUCGUACGAUAUCAUGAUUGUGGAGAAUGGGCAGCGGUCCGAUCCCGAGUCUGCGGCGCAGCACGCCGCGCGCAGCAUGCGGGGCGGCGGCGGCGGCGGGCAGCCGUACUACUACAGCGAUGAUGGCAGCCUUGCAGACGAUGACUAUGACCAUGACGGGGACAGGGAUGAUGCGGACAUGCCAGGACACCCCGACUUUUAUGAUGAGGAUGAGGAGUUGGGGGAUGGACGCACGCACACGAGGGCCAGCGCCCGGGCGCACGGCAGCGGCUGUGCGCCGUCGGCGCGGCGGGGCAUGUCGGCGGCGGAGGCGGCGGAGGCGCAGCAGCGGACGUCCGACCCGUCGGCAAACGGUGGCGGCGCCGCCGGCCGUGUCGCUGCUUAUCCCGGUGGUGGCACUCGCACUGGCGGCGGCAGCCCUGGCGGCAGCCCUGGCGGCGGCGCCUCGCCGGGCCGUUCGUCUUUCGGCGACGGUGGCACGUGGGCCGUCGCCGGCGGCAGCGGCGGCGGUCGCGGCAAGUCGUUUGCGGACAUGUCGGCCCUUCUGUCGCAAGCACUGGCGGAGAGGCAGGAGCGCGAGCAGCACCGGCACCGCACCUACAGCGGCGCCGGCGCCGGCACUGCUCCGGCGUCGCCGCCGGGGGGCCCGGUCCUGGAGCCAGAGCGGGAGCGAUUCCGCCGCAGUUGCGGCGGCGGCGGCGCCGGCGGCGGUACUGCCCUCGCCAGCAGCACCAGCAUCCGUGCCGCGCCCUUCGCCGCCGCCAUGGACCUGCUGCACCAGCGGCAUGUGGACAGGCGCCAGCGCCAGGGCCAGCGCCACGGGCACAGGGACAGCCAGGGCCACGGCCAGGGUCACGGGCAACGGGACGGCCAGGGCCACGGGCACAGGGACGGGCACGGGCAGACGUCGCCGCCGGCUGCCGCUGCCGGCGGCUCUCUCAAGGCCGCAGGACCAGCAACGGCGGCGGCGGCGGCUGCGGCGGCUGCUGCGGCGGCGGCGCGGGGCGGUGCGCUGUUCCUGCGCCGCCAGGCCCCCCGCAGCAGCCGCCAAGCCCCGAGCCAGGCGGUCAGCGGUGGGCCUUUGAAAUACGGUGACGAAGGCCCGACCGGCCCGGAUCCGGAUUCGGAUUCCGAGCCCGGAAUCCUGGUGCACAACGACGGCGGCGAGCAACCCCCGCCCGUUGCUGGCGGCGCCGCGGCACCGCACGGCAUGACGCAGCCACAGCCGUUGUCACCGCUCACGCGUGGCGCGGUCUCGGGCGCCCUGGACAGUGACGCAGAGCGCACCUCCGCCGCCGCCACCGCCAGUGAGAGUGCCGGCCCGACUGCUGGCGGCGGCAGGACAGCGGUGGGAGGCGGCGGCGGCGGCGGCGGCGGCGGCGAUGUCGGCACAGCCAUAAGCGGCAGAACAGCUGGCGGCGAUGGCGGCAGCGGCGGCGGCCUCCACGGCGCAACGGCGGCUGCCGGCACUGUUGUGGGCGGCGCUGCCGGCACUGCGGUGGGCGGCGGUCGUGGCAAGUCGUUUGCGGACAUGUCGGCCCUUCUGUCACAGACGCUGGCGGAGCGGCACAGGCGGGAGCCGCACCGCCGCGAUGGCCCCGGCAGCCCCGGCCCCGGCGGCGCGAGCCCUGGCGGCGGCAGGGUAUCAGGCAGCGAUGCGCCUACCAGUCCCGGCUUAGCCGUGGUCAUGGGAGGCGGUGGAGGUGGAGGAGCAGGAGGAGGCGCCCGCGCCGCGCCAUUCGCGGCUGCGCUUUGCGUGAUGCAAAAGCAACAUGCGGAGCGGCAGCAGCAGCAGCAGAAGCAGCGACAGGAGAGGCAGCCGCGCGCGGCGGAUGAGGCAGCACGGGAGCCGGCGGCGGGCGGGCGGCAUCGCAGCCACAGCCACCACGCGGCGGGCGGGCACAUGUCAACCUCCACCUCCAGCCCCAUCCCAGACCUGCGAGCCAGGGGGGCUGCGGACGGCUUGCAGGCGGUCCAGUUCGAGGUCCGCAGUGUCAGCGGCGUUGACGACAGCGCGGGUGGGGCCUGCGGCCAGGGGUCUGAGCCUAUCGAGCCGCCCACAGAGCCGCCGCCGCCCUCGCCGCCGCCGCUCUCACCGGGACGGGCGGCGGCGGCAGCCGCGGCGCCGCACUCGCCUCGGAGCGGCGCCGCAGCCAAUCCAGCUGCUACCACGGCCGCAACAAACGCCGCCACCGCCGCCACCGCCGCCACCGCCACCGCAACAAAUGCGGCGGUCUCAACGGCAGCAAGCGGUGUUGGAAGGGGCGUCAAUGGCUCCGCAAAGGCCGGUGAGCCGUCUGCGCCGCUGCUGCCGCCAUCCGUGCUGCCGCGCACCGCAGCGGCGGCGGCGGCGGCUCGGCCUGGCGCCUCCACCGCCGCGAUCCUGGCGGGUGCCGCGGCCGCAAUUGGUGCCAUCACCAGUGGAGAACUCGAUGACGCGAGCGGCGGCGUUGAACUCUGCGGCACCACCGGCGGCAGCGGCGGCGGCCUCGACGGCGCAACGGCGGCUGCCGGCACUGUUGUGGGCGGCGCUGCCGGCACUGCGGUGGGCGGCGGUCGCGGCAAGUCGUUUGCGGACAUGUCGGCCCUUCUGUCACAGACGCUGGCGGAGCGGCACAGGCGGGAGCCGCACCGCCGCGAUGGCCCCGGCAGCCCCGGCCCCGGCGGCGCGAGCCCUGGCGGUGCCGACGGCGCCGACGGCGCCCAACGUCGCGGUAGCGCCGCCGCCGCCGCCGCCGCCGCCGCCAGCGGCACGCCCUCAGCGGCGCUGGUGACAGGUGCCACCGCCGUCAGUGCCGCUGCUAGGGACACCGCUGACGGAGGAUGAGGCGGUGGCGGCGGCGGGGUAUGAUGAGUCUGGGAUGGCCCCCAAGGUUCGAGUGCUGGGCCAAGAGUCCGUGCUGGGCACGGCGUGUGGGUGAAUGUGUGUGUGUGUGUGAUUGUUUGUGUGUGUUUGUGUGUGUGCACACCAAGACUGUCGCUUAGGCUUUGGCAGUCACCACAGAUGCUGGUGGGGGGGUCAUGCAGGUUCACCUUCCGGGCUGCCGUACAACUGCAGUCAGGUGUGCAGCUCAGCCCUGCCUUGGACACAAUUGGCAACGACGCAUUCUUAUUGCUGGAGCUCUCAUAUUCACGAACAAGCACAUUUCGUAUCGUUUUCCUGCCGAGCGCUUGCUGGCAGCUGCCGGCUAGCUGACGUGUACGUCAGGGGCGGUGUGACCCGUAUCAAAGGGGACACCAUGGACCUGGGCCGUGCGUCUUGUUUUCGACACGUUCAUUAGACCCGUCACAUCAGGUUCUGAUCCUCGAAUCGCAUAAGAAAAGGUUUCUCGAAAGCAAUUGAUAUUGGUAUUUGGUCAGGCGACGUCUGUGGGAUUGCGGUGCUCAACGCAAAUCAAUCCAACUUCAAGGCAUUCGCAGUGAAUCCUUUGCAUGUCUGCAUGGGGGGGCAUGAUACAUCUGCAGAAUGACGGCAAGGCCAAAAACAACACCUCUUGGUGCGACUGGUUGCGUUGCGUUGAUUGUCUUUGUGGUGCACAGCCUCGAGGGUCUUGGCACCCUCUGGGGCCUGUUGCAAUGGGCACCAUGGCCCUGGGUUGGAUUGGACACAGCCCGGCACAGGUUACGUUGGGCUUACCGCGUUGACGGCAUGGGGAGUAAAGGUGGGGGCCAAGCAUCGUGAGCGGGUUGUGGGCCGCACGUGUGCAUGAUCGAGUGCCGACUGCUGGGUUGGGUUGGGAAUGCCGGCUGUGUCAAGGGCACUCGCUCAAGGACGCACCGUGUUAUACAGAUUUCUGUUUAUUGCCGCCUUCAUUGUUUGAUACUUCACGAGCAUACGUGAGAUGUGGGACUACGGUAGAUGGAUCGGAUCGCCUGUGGUGACAGCCACGUGUGAAGACACGAACGCACGUCACAGCGGCGAACUGAACUGGCGCUGGCUGGAUGCGGCUGAUGGACCCAAGCGCAAAGAUGAUGGGCGAAUGUCGUGUGCACGGCUGGAUGCAGGCGUGUGGCGCAGACACAGACGUGGAAGGGAAGGAGGGAGGGAGGAAGUGUGCGCGGGCCCUGCGUGCGAUGAGAGUGGGAGGGCAGGGGAGGGCGAGUGGGUUGAGUGGUGAGGCCUAGGUGGCCCCUCCAUAUGCUGCAACAUGCAUAUCUCUGCCAGACCAAAGGCCUCCCAAGGCCUGCCUCAGUGCCUCCGCAGCGACGGGCCAUGGACGCGGCCAUACGUGCCACCAGUCCGCCACACGGAGUCACGGCGUGUGUCGCAAGACGGCCAGAGCUGCCGGUCUCAUGCCACCCAUCAACCCCUAGUAGUAUCGCUUGCAACUGUCGCCUCUGCCUCUGUGCUCCGCUAGUUUGGUUGGUUGGUCUUAGUGGGAACUGGUACUUACAUCGUCUCCCCCCCCCCCCGCCGUGUGGGCCGUGAGGGCUGUGCAGCACUACCGGACUUGCCAGACCACCAGCAUUGCCGCCUACUGCCUCCCAACACGAUACCGUAUGACGGCAUGAGACAGCACCCGCCAGUCCUCCAGCGGACAGCCUUUGUAGCCCCAGCAGUGCCUCAGUCCGGCAUCCAUCUCCCCAGUGUGUGUGUGUGCGGCGAGGCACAGGCUGACGACAGGCUGGCACUGCGGCAGGCAGCAGCACAACGGCACCCAGCUGUGCAGCCCUUUAACUUGGCACGCACAGGGCAGGGGCUGCGGCCGCCGUUGCAGCUGGGGCCGCCUGCUAAGGUAGUAGCAGCUGACGCUCCACGCUAUAAGUGAUCUCUGUGAGACUGUUGGCGUCUUUAAACGCACCUUUUUGUGCUGUUGGUGCUGACACACGCACUGAGUCACCUACUGACGCUGUGGACGUUAACAAACAGCACAACUCAUCCGGGUGACCAAGCGCACAGGGACCAUGGAGAGGUGCCUGGGACGACCUCGGUCCCACGAACCGUCAAGUUGCUGCAAACCCCCAGCAUCAGCUCUUGCGCGUGGUAGCAGCCCCGGCCUAGCCACCUACUUGGCUACUUCCACGUGACGCUCCCAGCGACCCAGCUGUCGUCCCGCAGCACCCGCCUCUGCCACCAGCCCGCCACGCACCACACUCUGCCGUGACGCUCGCAUCUCCAAGCAAUAACCACGAGUCACAGGGCGGUCAGGCAACCCGCCUAUCCGCCCACCCGCCAUGAUCACCGCUGCCACCAUUGUCAACGCCAGGCAAACGCGUCACGCCACGCCACACCACACCACGCCGAACACAUACGCAGUCAGCAAUACUACUUGCCGCACUCUUGCCUCUUUACUUGAUUCACCACACCGCCAUUCACAGUGCCACUAUGACACACACGUACACGGUCACACAUACACACACACAGUCACACACACACACACAGUCACACACACACAUACUCACACUCACACGCACAUGCACGCACGCGCACACACUGCCGCAGUCAGCCUGCUACUGCGCGUCCUGCUGUAUGAGCUGUGUGAUGUAAGCGGCCAGCUCGCGGCCGAACAGGGCGUUGAACUUGGCGCUGUUGUCCGCGUGGCUGUGGAUGAAGUCGCCCUGGCGGGGAGGUCAGGCGGGAGGGGGUGAGGAGGGGGGUGAGGAGGGGACGGCGGGUGGUCAGGGGGCUGUGUGGAUGUGUGCCGGGUCAACCAAUCAAGAAGUGAAGUCGUAGCCCCGCACAACGGUGCGGCAGGCGCGUCCGGGGGUGGUAGGUAGGGAUAGGCAAGAAGCAGCAGCGGGUUGGGGAGAAGUGAGGGCAUGGCACCGCUCCGAGGGGGCUUCACCGUCGGUGAGUAGGUAGGUGGUGACGGUGGGUGGAUGGGUGAGAUGGGUGCACUUUGCGGGUGGCUACACGGGGCGCCGGGUGUAUCUGCAGGCCGUAGCUUUUCCUGACAGCGCCUACCCCUGCCGCUCACUGUGCCCUGUUCAGGGAACAUCCGUAAACCAUCGCUUUGCUGCAUCACAUACACUGCCUUUGCGCUAUGCUUUCCUUGUGCUCAUUGACACACGGCUUUGCUUGCGCAUUCGACCCUUUUUUCCCUUGUGCUUUGUAAACAGGCAUAAACGCACAGCUCCUCCCCCCUCCCCCGCGCUCUCACACCUUCUUGGCGGUCUUUUCGGGCAGCAGUGGGUGUACCAGCUUCCACAGCCCAAAGAACACGGCGGGCGGGUCCACGAUAAUCAUGCUGCGGUCGCAUAUACACAGGGAUACACACGCAUACACAUAUUCGUUUUGUUGUUUCCUACCACACACAAACACACACAUACGCGUGUUUGUGUUGACAGAGCACGAGGGGAAGGGGUGUUUACACGGCACAAGGGCUGCAACACAUGUAUGGACAGGUGUGUGUAAACGUGUGUCGGUGGGACACAACGCAGCAGCGCGCCGGCUAACAACAAGGUGGAUGAAUGCACCGCCACGAAAGGCAGUGGCUCACACACUCAAUCGUCCAUGCGACCACAGUCCCCGCCGCAUGCACUCACGUGGCGAGGCACUCGGGGUAGUGGUUGGAGACUGCAAGGCAGGGUUCGGGGUGCAAACCAACACGCUGGUUAGGAUGUAAACUUGUCACACGAAAUAAUGGCAUUCGCGUGGCAGGGAUGGCACUGUAGAAGUGUGGGGGUGCAUGGGUAUGGCACGACACGGGGUGCGACCGACAGGGCCACACUUCCACACCUGCACCACCCGCGGCGCAAUUCAUGUGCAUACACGAGCCACUUACACACAUCGAUGGCCCCCAAUGCGAAGGCUGGGUUCGCGUCGCGCCACCCGAACCCAUUCUUGUGUCGCCCCCCGAAGUGGUUCUGCACGUGUGUGUAUGUGUGUAAGCGUGGCACGGAAACAUAACGUAGUGAGUCCUGUCCAUCAGGGCCCGCUGACAGCGUGCCGAGCAGACAACCCGCACACUCACACUCACACUCACACACGCACACGCACAAGCACACACGCAUCCCCACAUACGCACCCUCUGCACCCAACCACACGCGCUCACCACCCACACAACGCUGCCGGGGCUGCCGGCGUUGACGCACAGGGUGGCCUUCUCCAUGAGGCAGGUAGUGUUGAGCUGCAGACAGGCCCCGGGGAGGAGGAGGAGGAGGCAGCGAGAUAGCGGGCAGGAGGACGUGUGAGGGAGGGUGUACAUUUCAUGAUAGCUCAGAAGCCGGGUAGACGGUAGGGGGGAGGCAGUUAUCUCCAAUACUAAAGAACCCGAGACCCAGUUAGCCCAUGUGGGGAGAAUGCGGGCGAAACCAAUGCAGUAGGCGGGAGGACGUGUCGGAGCCGGUGGACCCCACUAGCUGGCUCCUCCCCCGCCUCGGUGGCCCUGCCCUCAUGUGUCCCCUCAUGCCGCCCUCCCCCCCGCCCCUCCCCUGUGCCCCCAAACCUCCCGCCCCCCCCUCACACACACCUUGACGUGCUCCGGCGUGCGCUCCACACUCCGCGCGAAACUGCUGUACACCACCACCCGCCCCUGCAGGUUGCGUCACACACAUGCAUUGGUGGUUGCUGCCAUACCCCAUGUGUGUUGUGUCAAAGAGCACGAGGAGAACAAAGGUGUGUCACACCCACGGCACAUCAAGCCUUGCGUGCUGUCGCUGCGUAAAAACGUUGAGUACAAUUCACUCGUACAUCCACAUGCACAUAUGCACUAGACACAUACACACACAAGUCGUCUGGUUUUGUUUCUUAACACACAAAACGCACGCACACCUGCGUGUCGUACCCCACGAUGCGGGCGUCUGACGAGUUCUUGUUGGUCGCGGUGGCGGGGUUGGACAUGGCCCAGGGCGUGUGAGUGCGGCGCCAGACCAGGGAGUGGGCAAACAUGUGCAUGGCCUUGUCUGUGGGGAGGGGGAGGUGUGUGCGUGUGUGCUAGGGUUGUGUGUGUGUGUGGAUUAGGGAUUUGUGCUGGGGUCGUGUGUUUGGGAAUCGAGUGCUGGGGUGUUGGGUGUGUGUGCCAGAGGAGCACAAAGCCACACGCACGCACGCACGCACGCACGCACGCACGCACGCACGCACGCACGCACGCACGCACGCACGCACGCACGCACGCACGCACGCACGCACGCACCCAGGUGGUGGUCCCUGGCUCGCACGUAUCGCAGCAGCAUCAGGUCCGUCACGUAGGCGGCGUCCUGGGGGCUGGUCAGCAGCGGCGGCUGCGCGGUCUCCAGCUGCUCCCUGCGGCGUGUGCGCGGGUGGAUGUGGAGCGGACAGGGUUAGGACAGGGGGAAAGCAGCGUGACAAUGCGCGAGAAGGAACAUGGAAGCGCAUGCGAGCAACGCCCACAUCUAUUAGAUCCGGAUGCGCAUUCACACCCCGAUCCACAUUAUUUAGAUGUAAAUCCAGAUCCGGAACCUCGCCGCCGCACCUCAUCUGCUCAAUGAGCGCCAGCUCCUGCGGCGUCACGGACGCGUGCAGCUGCCCCGGCGCCCAGCGCGCCUUGCCCACCAGCCCGCAGCGCCGCCGCAGCGCCGCCAGCGCCGCCGCCUGCCGCGGCAGCAGCUCAGCAGUGACUGCCCGGGAGGGGUGGGGAGGUGGAGCAAGAGGGGGUUGUACUCAGCAUUUCAGCAUCGUGCGCACCAACAGCCCUGCGAACCGGUGUGCUGACAGCUUGGCAGGCGCACUUCCCAGGCGUACUUCAAAAUCACGCCACUCCACUCCGCUCCACAGUCAUCACAAACCCAGCGCUCCAUUCCACAUCCACAUCCAUCGUGCGCGCAUACGACUCACUGAAGGUCUCGUCAUUCAGGUGACUGAACGCGUCCCUGAACUCCUGCAGCAGUGCCCGGCCUUCCUCGCCGUCACCUAGGGCAGCCACCGCCGCUAUCGCAGCAGCCGGGUUACUAGCAGCACCCGCAGAUGAUGCGGCAUCUGGGGAAGAGCCAGACGCCCCCGCUGGUGGUGCGAGCGUGCCCGCGUGCGGCGCAGAAAACUCAGCGCCAGCACGCGCUGUGACGUGCGCCUGGGCAGGUUGGGAUGCGGUCCCUGCCUCGCCGCUGACAGCGCCCUGGCCAGCAUCAGCUUGCUCGGCAUCUCUUGUGCCCAUCGCGACCGAAGGCGGCGCCUUUGGCGUCCAGCUGCAAGGGGAUGUCCGUGAAUUGGCAAUCGUGUUGGGGUCGUGGCCCUGGCUUACUACUGUAGAAGUCUCAGACUAGCAAUACUUGUAUCAAAUUCUGGAACUGGCGAAUAGGGAAAACGGAUGGUGGCAGAAGUGUGGAGCACCUGAUGGAACCAUGAUGCAUGACUUUGUCAAGCGCUGCUGUUAACCGCAUAAACACUGGAGUUAUCUUGGUGACAUUAUGUACUCAUGUCAUUAACUUAUUGACAUCCUGCCCAUUCCCAAGACUGAAAACUGUCGCUCCCGUCGAUUAAGUAUAUUAAGGUAGCACCUGCGCAGCCAGGGGAGGCAGGGAUAGUAGAAGCCCGUUUGGGACCUGCAGCGGAGCUCGCCGACGGCAUGAGCAUGGGCAAGACGUGCUGCGGCACGGACAAGCCCCCAAACAGCCCAACAGGAUCUACAGAUGACAUUCUUUUAGUAGGGCUCCAAGUGAGUAAGCAAGCCUGUGGCCGGCCGCACCGUCAGCGCUGGGUUGUCGGGUGGGGGCGGGGCAAGAGGCAGGGUGGGUGGGGACUGGCAGGGCUCGGACUCGGAGCCAUGGUCAAUGGCGUCUCCACGCCGUUCUCCCUCUUAUCCCAGACUGCAGCUGGAAGGAGUUCUCUUGGCAUGACAGUUGCCGGUGGCCUAACGUCCCCAGGAGCUCGGGGAGGGGAACGCGGUCAGGCAAUGCUCCGUGAGAGCUUGCAGCAUAAGAUGCGUCUCUUGCAGCGUGUCCCGCGUGGCCCCUGUGUCGAGUGCAGCGGGCACACGCGGUCCACGUCGUGGCAACUCCACCUGCGCGGAAUCUCCCAGCCAUGCUGCCAGCUCAGCCCCCAAUCCCCCAAUCCAAAGCCGACACCACACACACCUGAUCUUCAAUGGCCGCAGGGGAGCGGCAAGACGUUGUUGGGGCUGCGGCUAAAAAGUAGGUGCUGCGUUUUGUUUUCCGGGUACGGCCACGUGUGUGCAGUUCCGUAAAUGCUGCUCCGACGGCAUGCCCCCAUGACUUUGCACCAUAUUGCACAGCCUGAGAAUUUGAGAUGCCUGCCGCCGGGCACAGCAACCCUGUCACCCGCAAUACUCCGAUGCCCAUGCCCAUACGCACACACGCCUUGCUGAUGUCGCUGUCACCUGCCUGCCCGCCUGCCUGCCUGCCUGCCUGCCCGCCUGCCUGCCUGCCUGCCCGCCUGCCUGCCUGCCUGCCCGCCUGCCUGCCUGCCUGCCCGCCUGCCUGCCCUGCCUGCCUGCCUGCCUGCCUGCCUGCCUGCCUGCCUGCCUGCCUGCCUGCCUGCCUGCCUGCCUGCCUGCCUGCCUGCCUGCCUGCCUGCCUGCCUGCCUGCCUGCCUGCCUGCCUGCCUGCCUGCCUGCCUGCCUGCCUGCCUGCCCGCCUGCCUGCCUGCCUGCCCGCCUGCCUGCCUGCCUGCCCGCCUGCCUGCCUGCCUGCCCGCCUGCCUGCCUGCCUGCCCGCCUGCCUGCCUGCCUGCCCGCCUGCCAUGCAUAUGUACGACAGCGGUGUACGGCAAGACUCCCGCCAACUUCAAAAACGGCACCACCGAAACCAACGGCUGCAUAGACCACACCGUGCCCACACCCAAGGGCUGCCCUGUCAAGAACAUCGUCAUCAGGUGUGGGGAAGGGGGAUACUGGGUUACAUGCCCGAGCCCAACAAAUAGGUCCAAAGGGGAGGUUGCUUGUUCCACGCCAGGGCACUACGAAGGGAGGCGGCAGGUGGCGAUGGAGCCUUUAAGGAGGACAAGCAGGUGCCACGGUUGGGCGCCGUGGGUGGGUGCUUGGGGGCUGGGGGCUGGAAGAAGGGAGCCGUGCAACUCCCCCCCCCCCCAGGCAGGCGGCAGGCGGCAGGUGCGCCGCGCUGCCAUGUGCCUGUGUGAGGCCGGGGGUCACAGGAGGGAUUGCACGGCCGGCCACUGCAGGAAGGCGGGAAGGCGGGGACAAGGCGGGAGGGCGGGGACACGGCGUUUCAAGGCGCGGCGUCAGGGCUUGGGGUGUGGAGUCUCCGCCCCGGCCCCCACCCGCCUCCCCUGUGCCCCCCUGUGCCCGCCUGCUCCCCUGUGCCGCCAUGUGGACCUCCACAGGGAGUGCGGAGGCAGCAUGCAGCCGCUGUGGCGCCAGUGGUACGGCGCAGGUGAGCGAGCGUGUGUGUGUGAGGUGUGGUGUGUGUGUGUGUGUGUGUGUGUAUGGGUGUGUGUGGAUGAGUGUGUUGGGUGGGCAGCCAACCCUGACCCAACCACUAGGUGGGCUAAAAGGCAUGGGCCUUAGGGUGACGGGUAGCUUCGCCCCACCCCUUCCGCUCCCCUUGCCCCGCAGGCUUCAUCGCCGUCCUGAUGACACUGGACACGAGUGACGCCGCCUCGCUGGCGGCCGCGGGCGUGGCGCUGUACGACCUGUUGCAGGCGAGUGCAGGCUGCAGAUCCCCCCUCCGCUAGGCCACGCUCUCCUCCUCGCUCUAUUGCGUUGGGUUCGGUUAAGUUUGGGCUGGUAUCUACAUGCCCCCCCCCUUCCGCAACCCGGGUGAACGAGACCUGUCCACCCCACCGCCAAGAGUGGACUGCGCGCUGUUCUCUCUGGAUGUCGGCACCUCGGCCUAGUCAUGGUUUCACCCCGUCUUUCAUGGACGGCCCGCGCUUUCCCCCUACUUCCCCCCCCCCCCAACACACACCUCUCUUCAGAACACGUCGCUGUCCUCGCGGCCGGUGUGCCUGGUGCUGACCAAGGGCGACCUGCCGGUGACGUUGUCGCGCGCCGAGCUGGACCUGUGCCUGGGGCUGGAGGAGCUGCAGGUGGGGAGAAGGGGGAAGGGAGGUGGGGUGGGCGGACGCGUGUGUGCGUAUUGGGCGUGUGUCUUGGGGCUGGGGCCGAGCUGGACCUGAAAUGUACAGUCCGUACGGUACCCUACUGUGACUGAGUUGCCUUCAAUCCUCACUCCACUCUCUUUCUGCCUCGCCCCCUCCGCAGCGGCUGUACCCCGGGCGGCUGUUCGUGACGGCUGUGUCGUCGGUGCGGCCCGCCGAGGACUGCCCCGCGCUCCGGGCGCUGGUGGACUGGAUGGCCGGCGUCAAGGCGGCGGCGGCGGGCCUCGCCUGGAGGCCGGCGGGGCAGCAGGGGCAGCGGUAGCAGUGGCGGUGGCAGGGGCUGGGGGCGGGGGCGGGGGCAGCGGAGGGGGGGCUGCGGCGGCGGGAUGGAUGCCAGCGGGGCGGGGGGGGGGACGGCCGAGGCGGGGACUGGGGGGUUGGGGGCAGGUCCGGCAUUUUAACAGGUUCGGGGCGGGUGUGGCCGCUGCAGGGGGUGGGGAGUGCAGCUGCGGGUGCACAGGCCGCAACGGCGGAUGCAGCGUGCCCCCAGGCGCGUCGGGAAUGUAGGAGGCGGGGGCAGGGGGUAACGGAUUGGGUGGCAGUCUUGGAGGCGUGCGGCGGCACGCAAUAGCGUCGCUUUUACACGGCCGCACCGCCAGUGGCCUAGCGGCAGAAAAAUUUAUGGCACCGAAGGAGUAGGACUGUAGGAUGAGCAGGAGGAUCGCAAGCCCGGUCACAGGCAGUGCUGGUUUGCUGCGUGCUGUUUAUGCGGUGUUCGGGCUCUGGAACUGCUCGGGUGCUUGUGUUUUUGCUGGCCGCAGUGUGAGCGCCCCUGUUUAAGGCGCCACCGCGCCAGCCCACACCGUGCAACGCCUCCCACUUUCCCGGAGAGCUGAUUCGUCCGCAAUGCUGUACCGGAGCCCGCUGAGAACACGCGAGCGCGCGGCGGCGGUUCGACAGCCCCACGCAGCCGAGGCGGGAGGGGCGCGGGGGAGAAUACGGUACACGGGAUUACAGGCCCGCCGCUCAGCACCUCAGCGGAUUCCCACAGUCCCACUACGUCGCAGAAACUCGUAUCAGAUUCAACCAUGGGUGCUGCCGCCGAUCGCGCGUUCUUGUCCCGUCGGUAGAUCCAAGGGUAGAUCUCGCUCCGCUGCGGCAUCCAAAGCCCCCUCACUGCAACACAGUCACCGUAUUAACAGCCUGCCUCCACGCCCGCAAGUCCAAGAGGCGACGGAUACCGCGACGGAUACGGCGACUGAUACGGCGACUGAUACCGGUACACAGCAGUGUGCGUAGCCAUCGCAUUUAAGUUUGUGAGUAGGUGGCGGUGCAGGGGUACGACCUUAGGGGACCCGAGCCUUCUAGACAGGCAGUCUCCGCGGAACUGCGAGGAUGCGGGAUGCCACAUUUGAGAAGGGAAAUCCUCUCAUGUGAUGGUAUGUACGUCAGUGAUGCAUGGUACGCAUGGGGGGAGUUGUGCCCACAGCACCGCUGCCUUGUGACGACAAAGCUAGAGUUGCAACGCUAAGACUUGAAAGUAAGCACACAAAAUCGGAGCACACACCAGGUUAUACAAGCACACGCGCCAUAACACACCAUACACACGCGGGACCUCGCCAACCUGCCUAAAUCCUGUCCCAUCGCACACACGCCUCACACGCCUCACGGUACGGCAGAAUGCAUUCCAGGCACUGCCAGCAUCCAGUGGUGUGAGAUGCAGUGGGGUGCGUUCUUGGCCCACGGCGGCCGCUGCCACGCACCAGCCCACCCAUGCAGCGAGGCGUUGUGCGUGGGGGCACACACGUACAAAGACACACACGCGUCUCUACGCUUUGUUUUCCUUGUGCUCAUUGACACACGUACAGAGACACACACGCACACACACAGGCGCGCUUGUCAGUUCCCAUUCAACACACGCAGCGCAAACACACGAGGGCUAUGGGAGCGGCUGCGCCUUCCCGCAGCCCUGCCCCGUCCAACAACCGACACACACACACAUUGUCCCACCGUGUGUGUUUGCGCGGUACCAGGCACACGCCCAGGCCAAGCUCCCUUCGGCUUGUCCGCAUCCAACAGUGCAAUCUCAUGGCAGGGUUUCCAGGCGCACGACCUUCCACCCAAGGACGCGUGCAGUCAGCCAACCAAUGAUAUGUGAGGCGUGAAAUGCGAAGCCAGUUGUCCCCUGUGUUGUCCGCAUCAGGCGUCAAGUCCAUGCCGGGUACACGCCUGUGAUCACACGCCCCCGCAUGCAAAGACUGCGCCUGCCCCUUUGUAGCCAGCGUUAUCGUAUAGCGCGCGCACACAUGCACGAAGGAAAGAAGACGCUGUAUAAGGAAAGAGCCAAAUGCUUUGUACAGAGUCGGAGAUCUUUUGUCUCCGCACUCCCCAUUUCCCAUUGCCGGCACUGCACAUAGGCAGUCAGGCUUGCGUGCUUUUGUCGAAUAACUAACAAGACACAGCACGCGCGCGAGUCGCGGCAACGUAAUCACAGGCAAGCAAACCACCUCCUCCGGCCAUCACUUGCUCCUCCUCUCGCACAUGAGCAUGCAUUCAGGUGUUGCAGCUGUGCGUGCGUGACUGCACGCCUUUAUGACCUGGCCAUGACACACAAUUAGCCAAUGGUUGUUCAGGGCAUGGCCCGGCUCCAAACAAGAAUGUAUUUCAAACUGGAUACCGUAUGCACGACUGAGUGGGAUGUCCCUUUAGGGCAAUCACCACCAAGAAUCCGCCAUAAUUAUGUCCCGCCUGGCGUGUUACGGCCGAAACCGCUUGAAACGCACCCGCUCCGCAGCGCUAUGGCUCGCCCCUUUUUGGGGCUGAGCCUUUACUGGAAGCUGCCAAGCACAUACCCCUGCCAGUCGUUAUCGGCGCCUGCGCCAGUCCUGCCCUUCCCACACACAUACACAUGGCGCCGAUCCUCCGCUCGCCCCCUGCACGCCCUUCGGAGCCCUUGCACCGCACCGACCAGCGGCCCUGCUGUCAGGAGAAUCACUCACACCGUCAAGGCAACGCAGCAGCGGAGGUACCAGCGGCACUACGGUAUCUCCAUCAGGCAGAUCCUCAGUCGUGGUACAGGGCUAUGUUGUGGCCUCACUGCUUGCUGCGGGCUUAUCUCGGGCGCACUGCCGCCGCCUGCCAGGCAGCGCCCAGCUCAACAGAACAACAAAUUGAUACCGUACAGCUUAAGAUUAUUGUGGGCACAACUCUCAAUUGCCCAAUUGCGAGUACCAUAGUUGAAGCUUCCGAGUUCCCCAGUCGUCCUAAUCAGCCAGUCGGGAAUGAGCGCACGCACGCACGCAUGCACGCACGCACCUCCACUUGCCCAUCAUCAAACGGCAAGCAGCACCCCCCAACAGUUGCACCUGCCAGUCAGAUAAAUUCCAUGGCAUCAAUGUGAGUUGUUGUCUUUGUCGCUGUGGGCGCGCCCAGGAGGCCUCGCCGCCAUGGGGCCGGGCCGGGCCGCAGAGCCACUGCACGAACACCAGGCCCACAGCCGCAUGCCUCCCGCGGGCUGAAGGGCCCGGAGACCUGCCCAAACACACCUGCUAGCCGCCUGCUCACGUGUCAUUCAUGUCAUGCGUCACCGCAACAAACCAAGAACAAUUACGACUGUAUCAACCCCUGUGACCGCCCCUUGACCUGCCUUCGCGGUCAGCGGGACCCCAGUCGGCGUUGAACCGACACCGAAACCACCCUGCCAACAGACGCAAAAUUGCCCAACCCGCAACCAGCAGCCCGCCUGCUCGUAAAAUACACACAGCCGCACCAGCCUGCAGUACACACACGUACACCAAAUCCCGGGUGCAUGUCACGGCUUCGCGGCUGCCCAUCGGUCUUUGCCGCGACGUGACGUCGGUCUUGACGUAUCACACAACAACCAGGCCCCUCCGCACCGUCCGCAUGACUCCCCGCCCGACUCCCACCCGGCGCCUCCGCCUCAGCCCCGUCAGAGGUCGGGUCGCUGCCCCCUGAGGCCGCCACAAACUCCAUCCCCAGCAUAUUGUUGCCCCCCUCAGCAUGUCAUGUGCAGGUUCACUGGGCCAGCACCGUUCCGUGCAAAGCUGAAGCCGUCUUCCUCCUCUCGCUCCUGCGCCUCCUCCUCCUGCUCCUCCUCCUCCUCCUCCUCCUCCUCCUCCUCAGUGUCCUGCGCGUCCUCGCUCUCACCCUCCUCACCAUCUUCCAAUAUCACCGCCCGCACCAUGCCGCCGCCGGCCCGCGCCACUAGCCGCGCUUGCCGGCUGGCGGCGACGGAAGCUGCCGCCGCCGCCUCCACCUGUGCCGCCUGCCCUCCCUCACCGGCUUCGCCCGCGACCUCAUGCUCGUCCUCGUCCUCGUCAAUCACCGACCAAGCCAGCUGGACGCCGGUGGGGCCGCGCGGCAGCAGCAGCUCACGUUGGCUGCCGCCGCCAAGCGCUGCCGCCGCCAUCGCCGCCGAGGAAGCAGCACCGCCGGUACUGGCGGCGCCGCCGGAUUCACUGACGGCUGGCAUCCUCGCAUGCUGCUGGUGCGGGUGGUGCUGGUGAUUCUGAUGGUGCUGCUGGUUCUGAUGGUGGCUCUGGAAGCUAUGCAACCCCAGCUCUGCACUCGUGCCCACGCCACCGUCCAGACUGCAGCGGCCGUCGCGGCGGCGACGGAAGCUGCCGCCGCCGCCGCCGCCGGCGCUCGCCUGCGACGCGUUGGCGCUGUGCAGCGCCGACAAGCCGCCCCAGUCGCUGCCGCUCACGAGGGCUGAGGCGCCGCCGCUCACGCUGCGGCGGCUGCUGUUGCGGCUCAACGCACCGGCACCGGGGCCGGUGGCGCUGCCAGCCCAGCUGGUGCGGCCGCUGCGGCCGCCGGCGGCGCCGCCGCUGCCGCCGCCAGCGUUACUCAAUCGCUCCAGGAACGAUGGCAUCGCUGUAGGCCGCAUGUUGCGCAUCGAUACGAAGUGGCCCAGGCGCUUGGGCGAGGUCGCGGCCGGGGCCGCGGUGGCGCCUGCGGCGCCGGUCGCCAGCGGCGCCGUGUCAGCGGCGUUGGCGGCGAGGGAGAGCGAGUUGACCAGGGUCUUGGAGGAGCGGUAACCGCGCAGCUUGUCCACGACGCUGGUGGCGGCCGCGGCCACGGCAUCCGCGCCGGCGCCGGCGGCGCUGCCGAGCGCGGCGGCGGCGGUGGUGAUGGUGGCGGUGGCGUCCGCAUGCAGCGCCGCCAGGCCCGACCGCGCCGCCGCCACUCGCUCCAACGGCGAUGCCAGGGAACGCGCCCAGCCGGCGGCGCCGCCACUCGAGCCGCCCAGGGGCGAGCUGCCACCCGGAUUCAGGCCCAGGGCCGCCGGCACCGGCGACGGCAGCGCCGAGGUGGCGGCGGAGGCGGUGGCGGAGGCGGAGGCGGACGCCGAGGCGGAGGUGGAGCCGCCCAGCGGCGACGUCCAGGGCGCGCGCUCAAAGGCCAACGCCGAAAUCAGCGGCGCCUUGCUGCCGGCAGCGGCGAAGCUGGCAGUGCCGCUACCGCUGCUGCUGACGGCGCCGCCAGCUCCACUGACGCUGGCGGCGCCGCCAUGCGCCGCCGCCGCCCCCGCCGCCGCCAGCGACGACAUGCUGACGGCGCCGGGCUCGGUGACAGAAGCGGCGGGCUGCGUGGCGCCGGAAGCGCUGGCGGCGGUGCCGUCUAUCACGCCGCCGCCCUCACUCAAGACGCCGCCGCCGCUGCCGUUGCUGUUGAAACGGCGCGCGUGCUUGUUCAGGCCAUCGUGUGACAACCGUCGCAGACGGCCGGCGUCGGUGACGGGCGUUACGUCCAGGAUGCUGGCAGCGGUCAGGGCAGCGCCGCCGCUCUCGGACUUGCGCGGCAGCACGCCAGCCGCCGCCGCAAUCGCGGCGGCACCGCCGUCAGCGCUGUCCGUGAACAUGGCCGCCGAAAGCUCGGACGGCAUUGUCGCGGCCGCAGCAGCGAUGUCAGCGCUGCUGCCGCCUGUUUGAAGCAUCAUGGAGCCGAACGGCGCCAAGCCCGCCGCCGCCGCGGCGCCACCACCGGCCGCGCUGCCGUCCGUCGUGCCCAUCAUAGGCGAGGCGAGGCCGUCCGCGAUCAGGGCCCCGCUACCGGAGACCGUGUGGCCGCCACCGACGCCCAUGCCUCCGGCGGUGGCGGCGGCGGCGCUGCCGCUGCCCACAUUCGCGAAGGACCUGGCGCCGCCGCCGGGCGUGGGGCUGUAGUAGCCGCCCGGCGACGCGGCUGCCGCCGCCACCGCUGCGGCGGCUGCGGCGCCGUACGCCGCGGCGGCGCCGUGGAUGGUGCUGCCCUGCUGCGACAGGAAACUACUGGCUGCGCCGUACGACAUGAGUCCUGGUGAGGCCAUGCCGGGGUCAGUGGCCAGAUAGGAGCCGUACAGCUCGCCUGCCGCCGCCAAGCCGCCGCCGCCGGUGCUGCGGGUGCCGGCUACGCCGGCAGCGCGGAUGGCGGCGCUGCCGGGGCCCGUGCCGCCGGCGCUGCUGCUGAUGCUGCCGGGUUGCGUGACGGCGCCACCGGGGGACGGACGGCCGACGCUGCCGGGCGAGGGGCCGACGCCGGGGCUGGCGCCGGCGGAUGCCGUGGCGGCGGCGGCGGCGCUGGCGGCGGCGAACUGCGAGGUGGCGGAGCGGGUGCGCAGCAGCGCUGGCGGCGGCUGGGAGCGCCGAAGCAGGCCCGUCGCCGCAGGCGCAGCGGCUGCGGUUGCUCCGGUGCCGCUGCGGGGCUGCGGGCCGCCGGCCGUGUGGCGCGUCUGCAGCGGGAGGGCUCCGGGCGGACGGCCGGCGGUGUCGUGGCCCUGGCCCUGACCGCCGACAGCUGUGUCCGUAGUCAGCGUGCGCGGCGCGCCAGCAGUAGCCGCAGCAGCAUGCAGCGAGGGGCUGAGGCUGCGGCGGCGCACAGCCGUAAGCGCCUCCGCCGCAGCUGCCGCCGCGGCCGCGUGCCGCGCGCUCACCUGCGCACCCGUAUCACCACCUGCGACCGCACCCGCUGGCUGCGCGGCAUGCCCCGCGCCCGAAGCCGCAAACCCGCCGGCGCCGCUGCGGCGCCCAGGCAGCAAGUGCGGCGGCCACCUGCCGCCGCCCGCCGGCCCGUGCCCCGGCGCGUCCCCCUCCUCCUCAUCGCUGCUGUCCAGGUCGCCGCCGUACACGGCCAUGCAGUGCGCCUGAAGCUCCGACCAGGGGUCGGCGCCAGAAGCAGGGGCCAGCGCCGCCGCCUGCGCGGGCGCCGCCGCAGGUGUCGCCGCCAGCGGCGUGCCGAAGGAGUCCGUCGCAGCUGCGGCCGGCGCAGCGGGUGGCGUGGGCGGCGCAUCCAGCGUGGUGCUUGGGAUGCGCUGCGACUGCAGGUGCGGCUGUAGCUGCGGCUGUGGCUGUGGCGAGGGCGCCUCUCGCACCAGGCCCAGGGUCAAGCUGCUGCUGCUGUUGCCGGUGGCGGCGGGGCCGCCCAUCUCCAUGCUGUUCCAGGGGCUGCCGGCGGCGGCGGCGGGCGAGAAGCGACCUGACACGGUGCGCAGGCGGGGGCUGAUGCUGGCGGAGGCCGGGCUGCCUGCCGCAGGCGGCUGCGGCGUAAGGCCGGAGGUGGCGGGGGCGCCUGUGCUGCGCGUGUCAAGUUCCAGAGGCAACAGGCUAGGCCGCAGCGGCGAGCGGGCAGGCAGCGGCCGUUCGUUGGGCGGAGAGGGCGACGCCGAGGAGGCCGAGGAGAGGCUGCGGCGGGAAGUCGUCAGCAGCUGCGGGCUGGAUGGUCGGAAUGCGUCGCUGGCACCUGACGCCGGGGCUUCGGGGCUGGGCACCACCUGCGGGCGCUGCUCUUUAGCAAGGGCGGGCGUGGUGACACAGCCUGGCGCCAGCGCCACGUCCGCACGCGGAGAUAAGAACUGUUUAUCAUCUAUGCGGCUGUCGGUGGUAGCCAUUGGAGGAGGCGCAGCGAACAGCAAAACCAAUCGACUGCGAAGAAGGUAUCCAACUUUGGUCCACCAGGCUGAUUUACGCGCUGCCCAUUAUGAACAUGGCGAGGCUCGUGACUCUGCGCGCAUGGCGGGCCUACACGCAGGUAGAGGUUUGACCGGGAGUUGGCAAGCGAUGCUUGCGCAAGCGCUGGGGCUCACGCGAACUUGUCGAGCCCGCGAAUGCCGGUAUGGGCACGUCUCUAUUUGCAAAGUACUUGGAGCAAGAUAACACUGCUGCGACGCCUGGACACCUGUGUCAACGCAACCUGGCCUCAAGGACCUGGUCCCGGAGCGGCGACCUAGAUGCAUUUAACUCAUGUAUGCCUAUAUGCAAUUACUUAUAACAGGUUGCCCCUACGCUGACGGCGAUGCGAGCAGCCCUGCCUCACCGGAGCUGCUGCUCGAGCGGGUCUCUUCAUCGACUGUUGCUAUUGAUAGCUACAGAUUGAACAGUAGACAAAAUAAGGCGCUACCUACGCAGCGCACGCUGUCUGCAGCCGCACGGUGUCAAAGUUGGCGGAAAACCAGUUGCUGUCGUGUCGCAAUUAUCGUCGGGUUCUGUAAGAAUGCAUAUACGAGGAUUUAAGUAUGCAUUCCGCAGCGCGGGCGACGGGUUGCAAGUUACACGACCCGCCAGGUUUCCGCAAUGGUACCCUCGCCACCGGUCCAGCCAUCCCAAGACUGGCCGUGUACCCCUGAACGCGCACAGCCCCCCCCCCCCCCCAUUGACGUUCCACCAGCAGCCUCCUGCAGUUCCCAGGGUUUCCACUUCAAGUACUAUACACUCAUCCACCUCGUUGUAUGAACCUGUUACGCCCCACACCUCCCAAACAGCCCCAAAACGUUCCGCGCUUUUGCAACUGCGCCCGCUGUGACGAGACGUUAAGCCUUAACUCGUGGCGCUGAUGCUCCUUCCAAAAGCUUGAGCCAUGAUCGUGGAAUGUCCCUUAACCUACUGACAUGAAGCUGCUUAGUCAGCAGCGCAGAAAACAGCAGGCAACAGCUAGGUGUGUCGCAUGGACAGCUAACCCGCAUGCCUCCGGCAUUCAGGCUCUCACAGUCUCACACAGCUGCAGCCCCGUAGGCCAUAGGACCUUGAUAGCCGUAACUCAGAAGGCAUCGCAAUAAGCCCCCACACGCAUCGGAACACCCUUCAACGCAGGUUGCAUGCACACACUCCCAAUGCCGCCAUGGUUGUAACUAGGGGUUGCACCCUUGGUCGCCACCGUGCCCGGGCCCCCCCCCGUCGCCAGUCACCCAAGGCUAGCAGCGUCAAUACGGUACUUAACAUCAAUAACUACCUACGGAGCAGUAAAUACUUCUGGGGCUUUGCUAUACCACAGUAAACCGCAUGAGUGCAAACAUAGGAAGGAUUGCACGCUCAGGGUUACACCUCACGUUGACACCUCCGUGCCUGCCAUGAAGAGUCCAUGAAGACGCCAACAAUUAGAACACCACAUUCCCAAGAUACCAAGCACAAGUAUCUCAUGGGUUGUACUUGCGCUUGACUGCGCAUCAUGCACUGAAUCUAUGUGCGUAGGUAUGUGCGUGGUCAGUCAAGGCGAAGUGGACUCGGCGGGCCGGGCGGGCACGCACAGUCCCAGGAGGCUUGGCGUCGGCUGACGGCAGCCACUGAAUCCGAUUCUGUCCGAAACCCAGUGCACGCAAACCCUGCAUGUGCGAGGUGAUGCAUGACUGCCAUGACCAACGCACCAUCGAGCCCCCGUGGUGGGUUCAUUGAUCCCCGCACACCACGCAAGCUCGGCCGAGACCACACCCCCUCACACCGACCCCUCCACCUGCCGUAUUCGGUCCAGCUGAUACUUGUGGCUCUCCCACAUGCACAUGGAUUCCAGCAUCUGCCGCAGCUGGUCUAUUAGCUGCUUGAGCGCCUCGUUCUUGAGGCACAGCUCCGCCUGCAGCAGGGCGCCGGGCGCCUCCGCGGGUGCGUCGCGGCUCUCCAUCGGUGCCGUCGUGGUCGAAGCCCCUGCAAUCAGAGCCCCAAAGGUGGCCAUCUUGGUCGUAUGCUGCCGCAGCUGUGCAGCUAGCAAAGGCAAAGCUUUCUGGCCGAGGAUUCACGAGUUGAGCCUGGGCUCUCAGGGUGCGUGUCGGCGCGCACCUUGCGGGUCUCCAAGGCGCUCGACCUCCUCUGACAGAGAGCAGCACUCCGAUAACGUUGCGCGAAGUGCCCUCAUGGCAGCCGCGUACUCGGUCUGUAGACUUGCUUGGCGAGUGACAUCCUCUCCUUCACUGUAUCCCAGCUUGACGAAAAGUUCUCUUACUAUUCGUAUAAUUUCUUGAAGCUGCUGUCGUCCGCGGCUUGCUGUACAGUGAAUUUUCUGCAAUAGCUCGGGGUGUUCCCCAGGCGCCAUGGACAGUUAUCGUCCAGCAGAGCUGUGCUAGGUCACUUCAGGAUGCUGUACAGUGUUUAAGGAGGUGCCUGAGUGGCUUUACACAAGAAUCCAUAUGUGGGAUGAGCACAAAGAGCUGCCCAGCCUGCCCUGCCACGAGGCGCCAUUCUCCUGAGCUUUCCCGGCAAAGGAUGCGCCGCACCUUCGUCCCCAAUGUUGUUCUUGGCGAACACUGGGCAAAUUGUUAUGUAUUACAACUACCAACGUCUGAACCCAUGUAACGGUAUGUUCGAAGGUCACACUGGCCCUUGCCCCCUUCUCGUCGGGGUUGGUGGCGUCACGUUGGGCCCUGGUGGCAUGUGCUGGCUCGGCGUUUCGGGUGCUGGGACUGUCCCCUCUGUAACAUCCGCAUUCUUGCCCCCUUCUCUCUGCGCGCUGUUUGGUGACGUGAAUUGCACGGGAGUCGCGUUGAGUACCCGCAUGCUGAAAUUGCGUAACUUCAUCCCAACAACCGGUUUGGCAGUCCCAUGCUAUACUUCCAGCUGUUCACUGCAUUUCCAAGAAAACAGCAGUCCAAGAGUGGGCGAGUCGAGCCGAAAAGUGAUAGCGCAUGUUGUUACACGGCGUGUGCCAAGCGUAGCCUUCAGCUCAUCGCUGCCAACCAAAACGCCCACAGCCAACGUCCUUCAGCCGCUUUACUGGCCACCGCGCAGGCGCAGCACCAGGUGCAGGGUCGACUCCUUCUGGAUGUUGUAGUCAGCCAGGGUGCGGCCGUCCUCCAGCUGCUUGCCGGCGAAGAUCAGGCGCUGCUGGUCCGGGGGGAUGCCUGCAUCCGGAGAGGAAACGCUCGUGUCAGACAAAGUGGGUGGGCGCAGGAAGCGGCAAUCAACACAGCCCAGUGCAGCUGCAAACCGCCCGCCUUACCACUGACCCGCCUGGCCACCCGCCCCUACCCCGCCUAAGAAAAGAGCCCCGACUCACCCUCCUUGUCCUGAAUCUUGGCCUUCACGUUCUCAAUGGUGUCCGAAGACUCCACCUCGAGCGUGAUGGUCUUGCCCGUCAGGGUCUUGACGAAGAUCUGCAUGCCACCGCGCAGGCGCAGCACCAGGUGCAGAGUCGACUCCUUCUGGAUGUUGUAGUCAGCCAGGGUGCGGCCGUCCUCCAGCUGCUUGCCGGCGAAGAUCAGGCGCUGCUGGUCCGGGGGGAUGCCUGCAUCCGGAGAGGAAACACUCGUGUAAGCCAGAGUGGGCGGGCGCAGGAAGCGGCAAUCAACACAGCCCAGUGCAGCUGCAAACCGCCCGCCUUACCACUGACCCGCCUGGCCAGCCGCCCCUGCCCCCGUUAGAACAGAGCCCCGACUCACCCUCCUUGUCCUGAAUCUUGGCCUUCACGUUCUCAAUGGUGUCCGACGACUCCACCUCGAGCGUGAUGGUCUUGCCCGUCAGGGUCUUGACGAAGAUCUGCAUGCCACCGCGCAGGCGCAGCACCAGGUGCAGAGUCGACUCCUUCUGGAUGUUGUAGUCAGCCAGGGUGCGGCCGUCCUCCAGCUGCUUGCCGGCGAAGAUCAGGCGCUGCUGGUCCGGGGGGAUGCCUGCAUCCGGAGAGGAAACACUCGUGUAAGCCAGAGUGGGCGGGCGCAGGAAGCGGCAAUCAACGCAGCCAAGUGCAGCUGCGUCCGCCUUACCACUGACCCGCUUGGCCACCUGCCCCUAUCCCCGGUAAGGAAAGAGCCCCGACUCACCCUCCUUGUCCUGAAUCUUGGCCUUCACGUUCUCAAUGGUGUCCGAAGACUCCACCUCGAGCGUGAUGGUCUUGCCCGUCAGGGUCUUGACGAAGAUCUGCAUGCCACCGCGCAGGCGCAGCACCAGGUGCAGAGUCGACUCCUUCUGGAUGUUGUAGUCAGCCAGGGUGCGGCCGUCCUCCAGCUGCUUGCCGGCGAAGAUCAGGCGCUGCUGGUCCGGGGGGAUGCCUGCAUCCGGUGAGGAAACACUCAUGUCAGACAAAGUGGGUGGGCGCAGGAAGCAGCAAUCAACACAGCCCAGUGCAGCUGCAAAGCGCCCGCCUUACCCUGACCCGCCUGACCACCCACCCCUACCCCCCGGAAGGAAAGAGCCCCGACUCACCCUCCUUGUCCUGGAUCUUGGCCUUCACGUUCUCAAUGGUGUCCGAAGACUCCACCUCGAGCGUGAUGGUCUUGCCCGUCAGGGUCUUGACGAAGAUCUGCAUGCCACCGCGCAGGCGCAGUACCAGAUGCAGAGUCGACUCCUUCUGGAUGUUGUAGUCAGCCAGGGUACGGCCGUCCUCCAGCUGCUUGCCGGCGAAGAUCAGGCGCUGCUGGUCCGGGGGGAUGCCUGCAUCCGGUGAGGAAACACUCAUGUCAGACAAAGUGGGUGGGCGCAGGAAGCAGCAAUCAACACAGCCCAGUGCAGCUGCAAAGCGCCCGCCUUACCACUGACCCGCCUGACCACCCACCCCUACCCCCCGUAAGGAAAGAGCCCCGACUCACCCUCCUUGUCCUGGAUCUUGGCCUUCACGUUCUCAAUGGUGUCCGAAGACUCCACCUCGAGCGUGAUGGUCUUGCCCGUCAGGGUCUUGACGAAGAUCUGCAUGCCACCGCGCAGGCGCAGCACCAGGUGCAGAGUCGACUCCUUCUGGAUGUUGUAGUCAGCCAGGGUGCGGCCGUCCUCCAGCUGCUUGCCGGCGAAGAUCAGGCGCUGCUGGUCCGGGGGGAUGCCUGCAUCCGGUGAGGAAACGCUCGUGUCAGACAAAGUGGGUGGGCGCAGGAAGCAGCAAUCAACACAGCCCAGUGCAGCUGCAAAGCGCCCGCCUUACCACUGACCCGCCUGGCCACCCACCCCUACCCCCCGGAAGGAAAGAGCCCCGACUCACCCUCCUUGUCCUGGAUCUUGGCCUUCACGUUCUCGAUGGUGUCCGAAGACUCCACCUCGAGCGUGAUGGUCUUGCCCGUCAGGGUCUUGACGAAGAUCUGCAUGCCACCGCGCAGGCGCAGCACCAGGUGCAGGGUUGACUCCUUCUGGAUGUUGUAGUCAGCCAGGGUGCGGCCGUCCUCCAGCUGCUUGCCGGCGAAGAUCAGGCGCUGCUGGUCCGGGGGGAUGCCUGCAUCCGGUGAGGAAACGCUCGUGUCAGACAAAGUGGGUGGGCGCAGGAAGCAGCAAUCAACACAGCCCAGUGCAGCUGCAAAGCGCCCGCCUUACCACUGACCCGCCUGGCCACCCACCCCUACCCCCCGUAAGGAAAGAGCCCCGACUCACCCUCCUUGUCCUGAAUCUUGGCCUUCACGUUCUCAAUGGUGUCCGAAGACUCCACCUCGAGCGUGAUGGUCUUGCCCGUCAGGGUCUUGACGAAGAUCUGCAUGCCACCGCGCAGGCGCAGCACCAGGUGCAGGGUCGACUCCUUCUGGAUGUUGUAGUCAGCCAGGGUGCGGCCGUCCUCCAGCUGCUUGCCGGCGAAGAUCAGGCGCUGCUGGUCCGGGGGGAUGCCUGCAUCCGGUGAGGAAACGCUCGUGUCAGACAAAGUGGGUGGGCGCAGGAAGCAGCAAUCAACACAGCCCAGUGCAGCUGCAAAGCGCCCGCCUUACCACUGACCCGCCUGGCCACCCACCCCUACCCCCCGUAAGGAAAGAGCCCCGACUCACCCUCCUUGUCCUGAAUCUUGGCCUUCACGUUCUCAAUGGUGUCCGAAGACUCCACCUCGAGCGUGAUGGUCUUGCCCGUCAGGGUCUUGACGAAGAUCUGCAUGCCACCGCGCAGGCGCAGCACCAGGUGCAGGGUCGACUCCUUCUGGAUGUUGUAGUCAGCCAGGGUGCGGCCGUCCUCCAGCUGCUUGCCGGCGAAGAUCAGGCGCUGCUGGUCCGGGGGGAUGCCUGUGCGUAGGCGGGGGGAGGUGGGGGGUAGCCGUUUCUGUCACAGGGCACACGCAACCGUCGCCUGCCUCAUGGAUUUGUGUUGGGCGCCCGUCCAUUAAGGCGGUGAGAAAAGUUUCCUAUGCUGCCCCUGACAGGGCCUGCCGCACUUGGCGAAGGUCAUGACAGACAUGCGAAGCCCGCAGAAGGUCUCAAUGACGCCCCCACCCGAGGUUGGCUUUGCUAUCGGCUGCCACGGCUGCCAAACCGCAAACGUGGAGUCCAACAGCUUGGGAAGCCCCUCAAGGCCCCGAACAAGCGCAGGACCGAUUCGCGACGUGACAGGUCUCCAACAGAGUGCCCGCCUACAACUCGCGAACCCUACAUGACACAACCUAUGUGCCAUCAUAACCUGCCAUCGCUGCCUUGGCAGCGCUGCUGCAGGAAUUACUCCGUUUCAGAACUUGAACAAUGGCCCUUCUGACUCCCCGCAAAACACGCCCAAGGCACGCUCAGACUGGUUGAACUCGGUAGGAAACGCAGGUUACGGGCCCGGAAAGAGGCAAGCGGCUCAAAAGCGACUAGGGUUCCCCAGGCGAGUCAGCUUCGCACGUAGG
rnacentral:lncRNA from 1 species